rnacentral:rRNA from 1 species
UACGGGGGGGGGCGAGCGUUGUUCGGAAUCACUGGGCGUAAAGGGCGCGUAGGCGGCCCGCACAAGUCUGCGGUGAAAACCUCCGGCUUAACCGGGGGCCGGCCGUGGAAACUGUCGGGCUGGAGGCUGGGAGAGGGCAGCGGAAUUCCCGGUGUAGCGGUGAAAUGCGUAGAGAUCGGGAGGAACGACCGGCGGCGAAGGCGGCUGCCUGGACCAGUCCGUGACGCUGAGGCGGCGAAAGCUGAGGGGAGCAAACACGGGAUUAAG